rnacentral:rRNA from 1 species
AAUUCAGAAGUUGAUCAUGGUUCAGAACGAACGCUGGCGGCAAGCUUAACACAUGCAAGUCGAACGGACCGUACGCGCAGCUUGCUGCGUGUAUGGUUAGUGGCAGACGGGUGAGUAAUGCAUAGGAAUCUGCCUAGUAGUAUAGGAUAGCCACUAGAAAUGGUGGGUAAUACUGUAUAAUCCCUGCGGGGGAAAGAUUUAUCGCUACUAGAUGAGCCUAUGUCAGAUUAGCUAGUUGGUGGGGUAAUGGCCCACCAAGGCUGUGAUCUGUAGCUGGUCUGAGAGGAUGAUCAGCCACACUGGAACUGAGACACGGUCCAGACUCCUACGGGAGGCAGCAGUGGGGAAUAUUGGACAAUGGGCGCAAGCCUGAUCCAGCUAUGCCGCGUGAGUGAGGAAAGCCUUAGGGUUGUAAAACUCUUUCAGUAGGGAAGAUAAU